AUGACAGCUCAUCCAGCUCAGCCAUUUUACCAAGCUCCUCCAGCUUAUCAAGCUCCUCCAGGUUAUCAAGUUUAUCAAGCUCCUCCAGCUUAUCAAGCUCCUCCAGCUCAACCAGCACCAGCUCAACCAGCACCAGCUCAACCAGCUCAACCAACAACUCCAGUUCUACCGGCUGAACCAGCACCUGCACCAGCACCUGGACCUGCACCAGCUCCUGCACCAGCUCCAUUGACUCAAGAACCACAGGCUCCCAAAGAAAAGGCUGCCUCCACAAAGAAGGUUCCAAAGGAAAAGACCAAGGCAGCUGCCUCAAAGACGGAGUCUCCUAAAGGAAAAGUUAAGACGCAAGAACUUGCGGUGUCCAAAGGGAAGUUCAAACCAGCUGUUGUGAAGAAAGGAGCUGUUGUCGCUGAAGAAAAGACAAAACCUUCCACGACAAAGAAAGUUUCAGAGGUUGUUGUUUCCAAAGAUAAAGCUAAAACAACAACUGCCAAGAAAGAUCCUGUGGAAAAGGACAAGGACAAAAUAACUCCUACAAAGAAAGAGCCUGCAAUCUCCAAAGAAAAAGUCAAGGCAACCACUAGCCAGACAACCACACCCUCUACCAAGAAAGUUGUUUUCGAACCCGAGGCCCCUAAAGAGAAAGCCACUCCAAGAGUCCCCACUAUGAGAAAAGCCAAAGCUAAAGCCACACACUCUGUGAAGACGGCCCAGCCCACUAAACCACGUAAGUAAAUGUUCAAUCCCGAAGCAAGACAUCUCCUUUCUUUCGAUAAGCAGGUCACUUCCUGUCUUUUGUUUGUUUACCACGUGAAUCCAUGUAGGGCUUAAUGCAUUCCCUAUCUUGCCUAAAAGUGGAGCAGCCACAAAGGAGGGGUUUCAAGGGUUUGAAUAUAUCUGUCAUGCUAAAUAGCACCAUCAAAUGUGUUGUUUUUUUAUUAUUCAUUGUUUUAUUGAGGAGCUCCUUGUCCAUGGAUCAACCUUGUAAAUGUCAUAUUAUAAUCACUGGAUGCCCUCUUUUUCUCUAUUAUAGUGUUUUGUAAAGCGGCACAUUUUUUAUUGAAUAGCAUGCCACGCAUAAUGGUAUAGCAUUAUAGUGAUAGGUUAACUACAUGCCAGCAUCAGUUAACUUUCUCAUGCUUAUUAAACACAAAACACUAGUUGACAAGAAGAAAUUGGAUCUGUCAAACGCCAUGACUUUAGACAAAGGCCCGGCAGAAUUACUUUGGCUACUCGACAGCGCAGAUCUGUAUUGAAUAAGCGUUGCAUGAUUCUCUUUCACAUCAAUCAUUAUGUACAUUUCCCCGGAACAAACAACACAUGAAAAAUAAAACCAGUCUCUCGUCACUUGAUUAGAGAGGACGUUUAUGCAUGGCAAAACUGCAAUUACAGCCAUGUCACUUUGUGUUACAGUUUGAAGAGAAAAUGUUUGAGAUUAUAAGCAGAGUUUGAAGAACAGGUUAACUGGCAUUUGUAUCUUCUCAUAGAUAAAGCUGAGAAGGCUGAGAAUACUAAAAAGACUGAGAAGGCUGAGAAGACUGAGAAGACUAAGAAGACUGAGAAGGCUGAGAAGACUGAGAAGGCUGAGAAGACUAAAAAGACUGAGAAUACUGAGGAGACUGAGAAGACUAAAAAGGCUGAGAAGGCUGAGAAUACUGAGGAGACUGAGAAGGCUGAGAAGACUGAGAAUGCUGAGAAGUCUGAGAAGACUAAGAAGACUGAGAAGGCUGAGAAGAAAUCUGUGAAAGAGUCUCAAGGUAUGUUGGCUCAAAGUAUCAAAUGAUACCUUUCCUCAAACAGUUCAUACAUUAUUGAUGUAUUUUGAUGAUUUAUGUUUGAUUCUUUUUUCCUAUGAUUUCAGAAAAAGAAGUAAAGACCCCUGGUAAAGCAAGUGAGUAAAUACCAAUGCCUUGUGCCUGUGCUUGAUUCAAAUGAGAGAUACGGAUGUAGCAUGGUGGUGCUCUGUCUAACCGUCUGAUGCAUUUACUAUUUAGGAUUAUCUCAGUGUGUGGUCUCAGACUAGUAAAAUCCUAAUGUAAUGCGUAAAACAUUUACUGCUACGGUAGUCUGGAAGUGGGAAUCAUAUACAUGUGAUUUUUUUAUGAUUUCAUAUGUACACACCAUUUAUACAAUUGAUGUGAUGUUGAUCAUAUGCAAAUAUGAUUUUUAUUAAUUAGCUACUGUAGCAACAGUUUCCCUUGCGAUUUCACAUUACAAUGAUCAUAUGUUUACCAUUUCUAGAGAUUGGGGCAGAAUCUUCUUUAGCUUCUACUCAGGACUAAGGUAGUAGCUAUAUAUUCCACUCCACUGGUCAACUCAAAAGAGAAUAGGAUUCUCUCUCUCUACUGUUAAUUGCUCUGUGGUGAUUUAUUGGGAGUAAAAUAAUCGUGUUGAUGAUGUGCUAUUAAACACUGUUCACGGAGCCAGCAUUUAGUUAUUGAGAGAGAUUAUGCCUAGUGAGAAAUAGUAAUAACACUUACUGGAUUUUAAACCAAAUGCAUUAAAGACAUUAGGGGGAUGUUCUAUUGAGUGAACCAGUGGAUUCUUGAUAUUCUAGUCCCAUCCCUUCCUGACCCAUCUUCCAAGUCACUCUCUCCUCGCGUCCUGUGUGAUUUGCCUCACACCGUACCCUGAACCUUAAGCAAUACGACAUGUACUGUAUGUAUAAUAUUAUAGCAAAACUGACUGAUUUAUAUAUAUUUUAAGACCUGCAGCAGUUGCUUUCUUUUAAAUAGGGGUUGUAGUCAUGCUUGUGCUCCCUGCAUGACCUUCCCUCUCUCUACACUUAGGUUAUGGUAAACAAACAUACAGUACAGGAUAUGUACCAUGUAUUUUUCUUAUAUGUUUUAUAUGGGCAUACUGUAUAUGGUGGAAACAUAUAUGCCCAUAUAUGCUUAUAUAUGUAUCCACACAUAUACUGUAAGUGGCAGCACAAUUAAGUAGUACCCACAAAACACCAGUCUCAACGUCAACAGUGAAGAGGCGACUCUGGGAUGCUGGCCUUCUAGGCAGAGUUCCUCUGUCCAGUGUCUUUGUUCUUUUACCCAUCUUAAACUUUUCUUUUCAUUGGCCAGUCUGAGAUAUGGCUUUUUCUUUGCAACUCUGCCUAGAAGGUCAGCAUCCCGGAGUCGUCUCUUCACUGUUGACGUUGAGACUGGUGUUUUGCGGGUACUAUUUAAUGAAGCUGCCAAUUGAGGACUUGUGAGGUGUCUUUUCCAGCUACAAUAGUCAUUUACAACAUUAACAAUAUCUACAUUGUAAUUCUGAUCAAUUUGAUGUUAUUGUAAUGGACAAAAAAUGUGACCCCAAACUUUUGAACGGUAGUGUAUGUCUCAUACAGUAUAUGUUGAAAUAUACAAGAAUUGGCCCUUUUCAUAUAUGUGACAUAUAUUUCUGCCUUAUAUUCACAUACAGUACCAGUCAAAAGUUUGGACACCUACUCAUUCCUGGGUUUUUCUUUAUAUUUACUAUUUUCUACAUUGUAGAAUAAUAGUGACAACAUCAAAACUAUGAAAUAACAC
ensembl:lncRNA